AUUUCUUCCAGUGAGAGAAGUUAACGAGUUGGCAUUUCCAUGAGACAUCGAGAUGGUGGGGGGAAAUCCUUUGAAUCAACAUGCUAUGAAGCCAUCAGCCCAGAACAUCCUGAAGACAGAACAUCUAAACGAUCAUCUGGGAAUCCUUUCUUCCUCAUGGUGCUUUUUGAAAGCUAUGAAAAAGACAAAUGACAUGACAUUGACUCCUGAGUGUUGAACUUUUGCCCACUCUAUAGCCACCCUGGUUAUAUUCUGACCCUGCUGGUCAUCUACGAACAUUGGAACAUCUUGAAUAACAAUAAGGGGCACAUGUACUCUUAAAUGUGCACUUAGCACAGCCCUCGGAGCAUGGCUAUUUGAUUGGUCUUGUGCUUUUAGACUGGUAUCUGUAAAACACUUUGUGACAACUGCUGAUGCAAAAAUGGGUUUUAAGAAAUACAUUUGGUUGAACGACAUUGUGAAAGAUUGUUUUGUUGUUGUUGUGAUAACACCAUUUUAUUCACGUCUCAAUUUAGGAUAAUACUGUUUAUUUUUAUUUGACUCAAAUUGUAUUAUUUAUGUUGUUUCAUGCCAUGCUAAUAAACUACCAGGCAAUGCAAGCAGAUGUGUAAUUAACCCCAAAACAGUUGUGUGUCUUUUUGGAUCAAGAAUUGAUCCAGAAUACCAAUAGGCAUGAUCAGAUCCUCUUUCCUAUUCAGGCAUCAUAUAACGCACAGACACAUGCAAAUCCAUAAACUCCAACAAUAAAACAUUGAAAACCUUAACAUCACUACUGACAAGUCAUUAUUAUAGUCACCAUCCACCAAUGGUCGAAUUGCAUUAUUUUUCAAUGUACAUGAAGCAAGCUUCCAUUGGCUGGAGCCAAUCAACGUGGUAA